CAAAACUUCCCAAAAUCGACCCGAAAAUCCCCAAAAUUGCCCCGAAAAUCCCCAAAAUUGCCCCAAAACUUCCCCUGGGACUGAUCCCAAAAAUUCCCAAAAUUGUCCUGGAAAUUCUGAAACUUGCCCCAAAAAUCCCCAAAAUUGCCCCAAAAAUUCCCAAAACUGCUCCAAAACUUCCCCUGGGAUCGACCCUGAAAAUUCUGAUAAUUGCCCCGAAAAUUCCCAAAAUUGCCCCGAAAAUCCCCAAAAUUGCCCCAAAAAUUCCCAAAAUUGCCCCAAAAAUUUCCCCAAGACCCCCCCCGAGCCCCCCCAGAUCUGCCCCAGGGACCCCCCCAGGCCUGAUCCCGAAAUUCCCCAAAAUUGCCCCGAAAAUUCCCAAAAUUGCCCCGAAAUUCCCCCCGAGAUCGACCCCGAGAAUGGUGAGUGGGGAGGGGGCAGGGGUCACUCGGGGGUCAGGGGUCAUUCAGGGGUCAGGGGUCACUCAGGGGUCAUUUGGGGGUCAUUCAGGGUCACUGAGGGUCACCCAGGGUCACUCAUUGGUCACUCAGGGGUCACUCAGGGUCACUCAGGGGUCACUCAGGGGUCAUUCAGGGUCACUCAUUGGUCACUCAGGGUCACUCGGGGUCACUCAGGGGUCACUCAUUGGUCACUUGGGGUCACUCAGGGUCACUCAGGGUUCACUCAUUUGUCACUCAGGGGUCACUCAGGGUCACUCGGGGUCACUCAGGGGUCACUCAGGGUCACUCUGUGGUCACUCUGUGGUCACUCAUUGGUCACUCGGGUCACUCAGGGUCACUCAGUGGUCACUCAGGGGUCACUCAGGGUCACUCAUUGGUCACUCGGGGUCACUCAGUGGUCACUCAGGUGUCACUCUGUGGUCACUCUGCGGUCACUCAUUGGUCACUCUGUGGUCACUCAGGGUCACUCAGUGGUCACUCAUUGGUCACUCAGGGUCACUCAUUGGUCACUCAUUGGUCACUCAGGGUCACUCAGGGGUCACUCAGGGUCACUCAGGGUCACUCAUUGGUCACUCAUUGGUCACUCAGGGGUCACUCAUUGGUCACUCAGUGGUCACUCAGUGGUCACUCAUUGGUCACUCAGUGGUCACUCUGUGGUCACUCUGUGGUCACUCAGAGGUCACUCAUUGGUCACUCAGUGGUCACUCAUUGGUCACUCAGUGGUCACUCUGUGGUCACUCUGUGGUCACUCAUUGGUCACUCAUUGGUCACUCAGUGGUCACUCAGUGGUCACUCAGUGGUCACUCUGUGGUCACUCAGGGCCCCUCCUGGUGCUCACCGUGGCCACCGAGGUCACCGACGGCUUCCUUCGCUUCCUGCGCUCGGCCCGGGCCUUCAACUACAGCGUGAUGGUAACGAGGGGGCGGGGCAUGCUAAUGAGGGGGCGGGGCAUGCUAAUGAGGGGCGGGGCAUGCUAAUGAGGGCCUUCAACUACAGCGUGAUGGUAACGAGGGGCGGGGCAUGCUAAUGAGGGGCGGGGCAUGCUAAUGAGGGCCUUCAACUACAGCGUGAUGGUAACGAGGGGGCGGGGCAUGCUAAUGAGGGGCUGCGCAAACGGCCUUCAACUACAGCGUGAUGGUAACGAGGGG
ensembl:lncRNA